UCUGAGUGUGUGAAGCCUAAGAAAUCUUUUCUUUGUCCCAGGAAUUUGUAGUUAUUUUCAACAUGGAUAUCUUCAGUUCCUUACAGGAAGAGUUUUCCCCUGCUACAAGGUCUGAGAUUCCAAAUCUCUUGAGAUAGAAAAGACCUCUGAGGACGAAAGGAAACAGCACCAGAACACCUGCUAGCAUGACCUCAUGGGCCUCCUAUUAAUGGUAUCCACCUUCUCAGGAGACCCCUGCCCCAAAUUUUGCCCUUGAAAACCCUCACUUGCCAGCCAGCCAGGAGUUCAGGGCUUUUUGAGCAUUAGCUCCUUGUUUUCCUGAGCGGCCCACACCAAUAAAUAACCUAUCUUUCUUCA